rnacentral:rRNA from 1 species
UACGUAGGGGGCAAGCGUUGUCCGGAUUUAUUGGGCGUAAAGAGCGUGUAGGCGGCUAUACAGGUCCGCUGUGAAAACUCGAGGCUCAACCUCGAGACGUCGGUGGAAACCGUAUGGCUAGAGUCCGGAAGAGGAGAGUGGAAUUCCUGGUGUAGCGGUGAAAUGCGCAGAUAUCAGGAAGAACACCAAUAGCGAAGGCAGCUCGCUGGGACGUUACUGACACUGAGGCGCGAAAGCGUGGGGAGCGAACAGG